AGGUAUGCUGGAGGUAUCAGAAGUGCGAAUGCUGACAUAAGUAACGAUAAAGCGGGUGAAAAGCCCGCUCGCCGGAAGACCAAGGGUUCCUGUCCAACGUUAAUCGGGGCAGGGUGAGUCGACCCCUAAGGCGAGGCCGAAAGGCGUAGUCGAUGGGAAACAGGUUAAUAUUCCUGUACUUGGUGUUACUGCGAAGGGGGGACGGAGAAGGCUAUGUUGGCCGGGCGACGGUUGUCCCGGUUUAAGCGUGUAGGCUGGUUUUCCAGGCAAAUCCGGAAAAUCAAGGCUGAGGCGUGAUGACGAGGCACUACGGUGCUGAAGCAACAAAUGCCCUGCUUCCAGGAAAAGCCUCUAAGCAUCAGGUAACAUCAAAUCGUACCCCAAACCGACACAGGUGGUCAGGUAGAGAAUACCAAGGCGCUUGAGAGAACUCGGGUGAAGGAACUAGGCAAAAUGGUGCCGUAACUUCGGGAGAA
rnacentral:rRNA from 1 species